rnacentral:rRNA from 1 species
GUAGGUGGCAAGCGUUGUCCGGAAUUAUUGGGCGUAAAGCGCGCGCAGGGCGGUUUUUAAGUCUGAUGUGAAAGCCCACGGGCUCAACCGUGGAGGGUCAUUGGAAACUGGAGAACUUGAGUACAGAAGAGGAAAGCGGAAUUCCACGUGUAGCGGUGAAAUGCGUAGAGAUGUGGAGGAACACCAGUGGCGAAGGCGGCUUUCUGGUCUGUAACUGACGCUGAGGCGCGAAAGCGUGGGGAGCAAACAGGAUUAGAUACCCUGGUAGUCCACGCCGUAAACGAUGAGUGCUAAGUGUUAGGGGGUUUCCGCCCCUUAGUGCUGCAGCUAACGCAUUAAGCACUCCGCCUGGGGAGUACGGCCGCAAGGCUG